rnacentral:lncRNA from 1 species
AAUUUUAAAUUAUUAAUUUUUCGGCUAUGUUUGGUUGAAGGAAUAAGGAAGGAAUAAGAGAAUUAUUUCUCUUAUUCUUUCAAACGCCAUUAAAAUUUACUGUUCUCCUCUUAACGGACCAUUUUAGAAUAACCCGUUAAGAGAAGAGAAUAGUAGUUCCACUCUUUUGUUGGAAUAAGUCAUUCGCUAUUUUAUCCCUCUACUAAUAAAGUUAUAAAUAAUGUAAAAUAUUAUUAAUUAAUACAAUUAACUUUUUAAUAAUUAACUAAUUAAUUAUUUGACUUAUUAACUUAAUAAGUAUCUCAAUAGUAAUUAAUUUAUUAUUAAUAAUUAAUUAGCUAAUUAAACAAUUAAAAUUGAUAUGCUUAUACAAUCAUUAACUAAUAUUUAUAUUAGUUACAUAAUUAAUAUUUUAAUUUAUAAAAUUAAUAUAUUAACUAAAAAUAUAAUUGAUUAAAUAUUAACAUAUCGACUUACUUUUUAGGAUUAUUCACUAAUUAAUGUAAUUCUUUAUCAUCUCAUAUAAUUUUUUCAAUUAAUUAAUUUAUUAAUUUGUUAAAAUAUUACUUUACUAAUAUUUAAAUACUUAUUAUUUAGACAAAUUACUUUCUUUUGCAAUCAUAAUUACUUUUAUUUUUACUAUUCAAUCCAAUUAUCCCUCAUAAUAUCUGGUGGAUUCUCGUCCAAACGCAAAAUUAAUUUAAUUCUUAUUUAUUUCAAAAUUUAUAUUUAUUUUAUAAAUAAAUAAAAAUAAUUUAUUUUCGAAUCAAAGAGUAUCUAAGGCUACGUUUGGUUUGGGACCCUUUGUACUCAAGAACAGUAAUUCUUAUAUUUCUAGAAUAAGCUGGCAUAAGACUAGAACGGUUGUUCUACCCUUUUUCUGGAACAAGUUUGCUCCCAGGUGGUAACAAGAUUAAUUAAAGUCUAAAUUUAAUUUUAAUUAUAAUAUUUAAUUAUUAAUUAAUCUACUUAAUAUAUUUAAAUUAUUAUUUAUUGCUUAAAUAAUAAAAUGAUUAAUUAAUUUAUUAUUUAUAAUUAAUUAUUAAAAAUAAUUUUAAUUUAAAAUUAUAACUUUUAUUGUACUUAUUCUAAUCUAAUCAUCCAAAUAUUAUUUAUCUUAUUUUAAGGAACAAUCUAAUUUUUAUCCAAACACAAAAUUAAUUUAAUUUUUAUUUAUAUUUAAAUUUAUAUUUAUUUCUAAAAUAAACUGUUCUUAUUUAUACCCGAACCAUAUUAAUUCAAUCCAAUAAUACGUGUACAAAUGACAUUCCUCUUUUCCC